rnacentral:lncRNA from 1 species
GGGGAGCAGAUGGUGUUUGGUUACAUGAAUAAGUUCUUUAGUGGUGAUUUCUGAGAUUUUACUACACCCAACACCUGAGCAGUGUACACUGUAGCCAAUGUGUAGUCUUCUAUCCCUUCCCACCCACAACGUUUUCCCCUGAGUCCCCAAAGUUCAGUGUAUCAUUCUUAUGCCUUUGCAUCCUCAUAACUUAGCUCCCACGUAUGAGUGUGAACAUAUGAUGUUUGGUUUUCCAUUCCUGAGUUGCUUCACUUAGAAUAAUAGUCUCCAAUUCCAUCCAGUUUGCUGCAAAUGCCAUUAUUUUGUUCCUUUUUAUGGCUUAGCAGUAUCCCAUGGUAUAUAUAUAACAGAUUUUCUUUAUCCACUCAUUGAUUUAUGGGCAUUUGGGCUGGUUCCAUAUUUUUGCAACUGCAAAUUGUGCUGCUCUAAACAUGCAUAUGCAAGUAGCUUUUUCAUAUAAUGACUUCUUUUCCUCUGGUUAGAUACCUAGUAGUGGGAUUGCUGGAUCAAAUGGUAGAUCAACUUUUAGUUCUUUAAGGAAACUCCACACUGUUUUCCAUAGUGGUUGUACUAGUUUAUAUUCCCAUCAACAGUUUAAAAGUGUUCCCUUUUCACUGCCUCCAUGCCAAUAUCUCUUUUUUUUUUUUUAAUUUUUUGAUCAUGGCUAUUCUUGCAGGAGUGAGGUGGUAUCAUACUGUUGUUUUGAAUUGCAUUUCCCUGAUCAUUAGUGAUGUUGAGCAUUUUUCCAUAUGCUUGUUGGCCAUUUGUGUAUCUUCUUUUGAUAAUUGUCCAUUCUUGUCCUUAGCCCACUUUUUGGUGAUAUUGUUUGUUUUUUCUUGCUGAUUUGUUUGAGUUCUUUGUAGAUUCUGGAUACUAGUCCUUCGCUGGAUAUAUAGAUUGUGAAGACCUUCUUCCAUUCUGUGGGUUGUCUGUUAACUCUGUUGAUUAUUCCUUUUGCUGUGCAGAAGCUUUUUAAUUUAAUUAAGUCACACCUAUUAUCUUUGUUUUUAUUGCAUUUGUUUUUGGGUUCUUGGUCAUGAACUCUUUGCCUAAGCCAACAUCUAGAAGGGCUUUUCCACUGUUAUCUUCUAGAAUCUUCAUGGUUUCAGGUCUUAGAUUAAAGUCUUUGAUCCAUCUUGAGUUGAUUUUUGUAUGAAGUGAGAGAUGAGGAUCCGGUUUUAUUCUUCUACAUGUGGCUUGCCAAAUAUCCCAGCACCAUUUGUUGAAUAGAGUGUCCUUUCCCCACUUUAUGUUUUUGUUUGCUUUGUCAAAGAUCAGUUGGCUGUAAGUAUUUGGCUUCAUUUCUGGGUUCUCUAUUCUGUUCCACUGGUCUAUGUCCCUAUUUUCAUACCAGUACCAUGCUGUUUUGGUGACUAUGACCUUAUAGUAUAAGUUUGAAGUCAGGUAAUAUUAUGCUUCCAGAUUUGUUCUUUUUGCUUUGUCUUGCUUUGGCUAUGCAGGCUCUUUUUUGGUUCCAUAUGAAUUUUAGGACUGUUUUCUCUAGUUUUGUGAAGAAUCAUGGUGGUAUUUUGUUGCUCUGAUUGCUCUGGGUAGCACUUCUAGCACCAUGUUGAAGAGAAAUGGUGAGAGUGGGCGUCCUUGUCUUGUUCCAGUUCUUAGGGGCAAUGCUUUCAACUUUUCCCCAUUCAGUAUGAUGUUGGAAUUGCAUUGAAUUUGUAGAUUGUUUUUGGCAGUAUGUUCAUUUUCACAAUAUAGAUUCUACCCAUCCAUGAGCAUGGGAUGUGUUUCCAUUUGUUUGUGUCAUUUAUGAUUUCUUUCAGCAGUGUUUUGUAGUUUUCCUUGUAGAGGUCUUUCACAUCCUUGGUUAUGUAUGUUCCUAAGUUUUUGGGGUUUUUUUUUCAGCUAUUGUGAAAAAGGCUGAGUUUUUUAUUUGAUUCUCAGCUUAGUCACUGUUGGUGUUUAGCAGGGCUACUGAUUUGUGUACACUAACUUUGUAGCCUGAAACUUUGCUGAAUCCAUUUACCAGUUCUAGGAGAUUUUUAGAUGAGUCUUUAGGGUUUUCUAGGUAAAAGAUCAUGUCAUCAACAAACAGUGACAGUUUGACUUCCUCUUUACUGAUUUAGCUGCCCUUUAUUUCUUUCUCUUCUCUGAUUGCUCUGGCUAGCACUUCUAGCACAAUGUUGACAAGGAGUGUUGAGAGUGGGCAUCCUUGUCUUGUUCCAGUACUUAGGGGCAAUGCUUUCAACUUUUCCCCAUUCAGUAUAAUGUUGGCUGUGGGUUUGUCAUAAAUGGCUUUUAUUACCUUAAUGUUUUUCCUUCUAUACCUAUUUUGCUGAGGGUUUUAAACAUAAAGGGAUGCUGGAUUUUGUCUAAUGCUUUUUCUGUGUCUAUUAAGAUGAUACUGUAAUUAUUGUUUUUAAUUCUGUUUUUGUGGUGUAUCACAUUUAUUGACUUGUGUAUGUUAAACCAUCCCUGCAUUCCUGGUAUAAAAUCCACUUGAUCAUGGUGGAUUCUCUUUUUGACAUGUGGUUGAAUUCAGUUUGCUGUAUUUUGUUAAGGAUUUUGGCAUCUAUGUUCAUCAGGGAUAUUGGUCUAUAGUUUUCUUUUUUGGUUAAUGUCCUUUCCUGGUUUUGGUAUUAGGGUGAUACUGGCCUCAUAGAAUGAUUUAGGGAAGAUGCCCUCUCUCUCUAUCUUUUGGAAUAGUGUCAAUAGGAUUGGUACCAAUUCUUAUUUGAAUGUCUGAUAUAAUUCAGCUGUGAACCCGUCUGGUCCUAGACUUUUUUUUGUUGUUGGCUUUAUUUAUUUAUUUAUUUAUUUUUAGGUGGAGUCUCACUCUGUCACCCAGGCUGGAGUGCAGUGGCAAGAUCUCAGCUCAUUGUAACCUUUGCUUCUUGGGUUCAAGUGAUUCUCCUGCCUCAGCCUCCGAAGUAGAUGGGACUACACGUACAUGCCACCACACCUGGCUAAUUUUUGUGUUUUUAGUAGAAAUGAGGUUUUGCCAAGU